AAGACCAUCUCCAAUGCGCAACUCUAUAUUUCCUCUAUUUUACAGUUGACUCUAUAAAAUAUAGUUGAUUUUACUGCAUUGUAUGCCUCUAAAAUAGAGGAAAAAUGUAGAGAUUGCUCUUUUAUUAGCUCAACUAUAUAUUCUCUAAACUCUAAAAUAGAGGAAAAUAUAGAGUUGGGCAUUUGAGAUGCUCUA